CCUGGUUUAGGCCACUAAGGUGUCCAUUUCCUUAUCUCCUCCCCAUGACGUAGCAUUCUUAUUUAUUACAUAUCCUUAAUUUUUACAUUAACUAGUCCAGCGAGUCUGUUAGUUAAGUGUGCCAAUAUAUGUCUAUUUUUCGGUCUUAACUUUUGUCCAGGCCUAUAUUGUGUAGAUUCAUAUAGGUAUUGAUAUUCAGGUAUUCAAUGACAUGACAAAUGAUACAUGAUUAGGGAACUGAGUUGUGACAAAAGAUCAAAUCCUCUUGGUUAUGUGUUAUGCUACAUUGGUAGCAAAGGCACAUGGGUAGUGUUUCUUAAAAUUGGGUAAGUACUGACAAAAAAAAUUCAUCCAUUCCUUAGGUUUGCUUUUAUUCAGAUUGUUCAGCCAUUACAUAGGUCGCCCCUGAUGCAUUUUCUUAAAUAUAUAUCCAGCUUAGUGCUAGGACGGUCUUGAAGAAUUAAAUAGCGCCACAUUAAACUAUUUUUAUUUCCCCUUAUACACCUUGGAUCCUACCUUCUGUAGAAAUAAAACUCCAGUACUUUUUCCUAGAGAAGCCCAAAUCUAAAGAAGUGUUUCUUUUCAUGUUGUUUCUUCUACUGGUUCUAAGAGUCUUAUUCUUGAUUGAGCUGUUGGCAUUGAGUUCUUUUCUCCUAAUACAUCAUACCAAGCACGAGUAGUACAUAAGUAAUGGUGACACUAAACUACUUAAUUCUGAGACCUUUAGAAAACGGAAAUAUCCAAUUUUGUAUAGUUGAUAGUAUUGCUUACCUAAUCAUCAUUUAGUUGGUUGCUGAAUUCAUCUCAUUGUUGAUAUAAUAUAAUCUUUGGAUAAUUGUUAGUAGUGAAUACAUGCUGCUGGUUGUUCGUAGUCAACAGGCACACCCAAUUGGCCAAAGAUAGUCAGUAUUUCAACAUGUCCUCCUACUAAGUUAUUUGUCAGACAUACAUUAGAUUAUGUCUUUGGCCCCAAUAAUCUUUUCUUGCACACUUUGCAAUUUUUAUGUCAAUCCUUUUGGGUACAAUGCAUAGUAUGUAUAUUUUUAAAUUUCAUUUUGAAUUUGUGCCUAAAUAAUAUUACAAUUUUUCAUUGUAGGUUGAGGAUUUCAAUACAAGAUGAUUACUUGGAUCCUUGAGAACGUAUGAUGAUUCUUGGUACUUGGAGUAGAAACAAGAAAGUUCUCUGAAUGUUUAGAAAUUUUAUAUUUUGUUUUGUUUUAUUUUUGUAAGGAAGUGGUGUACUCCUAAUUGACGAUACUUCCAUUGUAAUGUAACAGAUUGUUCCAUUGAAUCAAUAUAUCAUUUUCAUUUCUACUCUAUCGAAUUUUACUAAAGUUCUACCUUGUACUGCCAUUCAAACGACCUACUAUUACAAAUGAUUAUAUAUGGAGGUUAUUCUAUUUUGCAAGCACCAGAGCAUAGAGCAACAGUGUGAUAAAUGAUUAUAUAUGGAGAUUAUUCUAUUUGGCAAGCACCAAUGCAUAGAAGCGUUGCAUGAAUCCGUUGUCGCUUUGCAACACAUUAUUUCCCAGAUUACCAACGAAUCUAUAUACGUUGUUGUAGACCCUUGCAACGCCACCUAUGAAAACGCAUAUGAAUCCGUUGGUGUAGACCUUACCAACGCUUAUACGGACAAACGACAACACAUCUAUGCGUUGCUAAAGGGGGG
rnacentral:lncRNA from 1 species